rnacentral:rRNA from 1 species
UACAGAGGGGGCAAGCGUUGUUCGGAAUUAUUGGGCGUAAAGAGCGUGUAGGCGGCCAUGUAGGUCCGUUGUGAAAACUCGAGGCUCAACCUCGAGACGCCGAUGGAAACCAUGUGGCUAGAGUCCGGAAGAGGAGAGUGGAAUUCCUGGUGUAGCGGUGAAAUGCGCAGAUAUCAGGAAGAACACCCGUGGCUAAGGCGGCUCUCUAGUACGGUACUGACGCUGAGACGCGAAAGCGUGGGGAGCGAACAGG